rnacentral:rRNA from 1 species
GACGAACGCUGGCGGCGUGCUUAACACAUGCAAGUCGAACGGGAAGGCCCUGCUUUUGUGGGGUGCUCGAGUGGCGAACGGGUGAGUAACACGUGAGUAACCUGCCCUUGACUUUGGGAUAACUUCAGGAAACUGGGGCUAAUACCGGAUAGGAGCUCCUGCUGCAUGGUGGGGGUUGGAAAGUUUCGGCGGUUGGGGAUGGACUCGCGGCUUAUCAGCUUGUUGGUGGGGUAGUGGCUUACCAAGGCUUUGACGGGUAGCCGGCCUGAGAGGGUGACCGGCCACAUUGGGGCUGAGAUACGGCCCAGACUCCUACGGGAGGCAGCAGUGGGGAAUAUUGCACAAUGGGCGGGAGCCUGAUGCAGCAACGCCGCGUGCGGGAUGACGGCCUUCGGGUUGUAAACCGCUUUCGCCUGUGACGAAGCGUGAGUGACGGUAAUGGGUAAAGAAGCACCGGCUAACUACGUGCCAGCAGCCGCGGUGAUACGUAGGGUGCGAGCGUUGUCCGGAUUUAUUGGGCGUAAAGGGCUCGUAGGUGGUUGAUCGCGUCGGAAGUGUAAUCUUGGGGCUUAACCCUGAGCGUGCUUUCGAUACGGGUUGACUUGAGGAAGGUAGGAGAGAAUGGAAUUCCUGGUGGAGCGGUGGAAUGCGCAGAUAUCAGGAGGAACACCAGUGGCGAAGGCGGUUCUCUGGGCCUUUCCUGACGCUGAGGAGCGAAAGCGUGGGGAGCGAACAGGCUUAGAUACCCUGGUAGUCCACGCUGUAAACGGUGGGUACUAGGUGUGGGGUCCAUUCCACGGGUUCCGUGCCGUAGCUAACGCUUUAAGUACCCCGCCUGGGGAGUACGGCCGCAAGGCUAAAACUCAAAGGAAUUGACGGGGCCCCGCACAAGCGGCGGAGCAUGCGGAUUAAUUCGAUGCAACGCGUAGAACCUUACCUGGGUUUGACAUGGAUCGGGAGCGCUCAGAGAUGGGUGUGCCUCUUUUGGGGUCGGUUCACAGGUGGUGCAUGGCUGUCGUCAGCUCGUGUCGUGAGAUGCUGGGUUAAGUCCCGCAACGAGCGCAACCCUUGUUCACUGUUGCCAGCACGUUAUGGUGGGGACUCAGUGGAGACCGCCGGGGUCAACUCGGAGGAAGGUGGGGAUGACGUCAAGUCAUCAUGCCCCUUAUGUCCAGGGCUUCACGCAUGCUACAAUGGCUGGUACAGAGAGUGGCGAGCCUGUGAGGGUGAGCGAAUCUCGGAAAGCCGGUCUCAGUUCGGAUUGGGGUCUGCAACUCGACCUCAUGAAGUCGGAGUCGCUAGUAAUCGCAGAUCAGCAACGCUGCGGUGAAUACGUUCCCGGGGCU